GUACUUGCCUGGCAGGGAGAUACCGUGAUCAUGAAAGCGCUUUUCCCAGGGUGAGUCUUAUCUAUUGCACUCCAGAUGUGCUGAUCCCUGCAAUUUCCCCAAAUGUGAGAAACUCGACUGCAUAAUUUGUGGUGGGGGACUGCAUUCAUAGUCUCCCCUU